CCUACGGGUGGCAGCAGUGAGGAAUAUUGGUCAAUGGGCUUACGCCUGAACCAGCCAAGUCGCGUGAGGGAAGACUGCCCUAUGGGUUGUAAACCUCUUUUGUCAGGGAGCAACGCCGGCUACGUGUAGCCGGACUGAGAGUACCUGAAGGAAAAGCAUCGGCUGACUCCGUGCCAGCAGCCGCGGUAAUACGGAUGAUGCGCUUGUUAUCCGGAUUUAUUGGGUUUAAAGGGUGCGUAGGCGGAAUGCCAAGUCAGCGGUAAAAUCGCGGGGCUCAACCUCGCUCCGCCGUUGAAACUGGCGUUAGUGAGUGGGCGAGAAGUAUGCGGUAUGCGGGGUGUAGCGGUGAAGUGCAUAGAU
rnacentral:rRNA from 1 species